GAUGAACGCUGGCGGCGCGCCUAACACAUGCAAGUCGAACGGAGCUUAGAGAGUUUGCUUUUUAAGCUUAGUGGCGGACGGGUGAGUAACGCGUGAGGAACCUGCCUUUCAGAGGGGGACAACAGUUGGAAACGACUGCUAAUACCGCAUGACACAUCGGAGUCGCAUGGCUCUGAUGUCAAAGAUUUAUCGCUGAAAGAUGGCCUCGCGUCUGAUUAGCUAGUUGGUGAGGUAACGGCCCACCAAGGCGACGAUCAGUAGCCGGACUGAGAGGUUGAACGGCCACAUUGGGACUGAGAUACGGCCCAGACUCCUACGGGAGGCAGCAGUGGGGAAUAUUGGGCAAUGGGCGCAAGCCUGACCCAGCAACGCCGCGUGAAGGAAGAAGGCUUUCGGGUUGUAAACUUCUUUUGUCAGGGACGAGUAGAAGACGGUACCUGACGAAUAAGCCACGGCUAACUACGUG
rnacentral:rRNA from 1 species